rnacentral:rRNA from 1 species
UACGUAGGGACCGAGCGUUGUCCGGAAUCAUUGGGCGUAAAGAGCGUGUAGGCGGCCUGUUAAGUCUUGCGUGAAAUCUCGGGGCUCAACCCCGAGCGGUCGUGAGAAACUGGCAGGCUAGAGUGCGGGAGAGGAGAGUGGAAUUCCUGGUGUAGCGGUGACAUGCGUAGAUAUCAGGAGGAACACCGGUGGUGUAGACGGCUCUCUGGACCGUAACUGACGCUGAGACACGAAAGCGUGGGUAGCAAACAGG